rnacentral:rRNA from 1 species
AACGAACGCUGGCGGCGCGUCUUAAGCAUGCAAGUCGAACGGUAAGGGAGAGCUUGCUCUCCCCUAGAGUGGCGGACUGGUGAGUAACGCGUGGGUGACCUGCCCUGAAGAUGGGGAUAGCUAGUAGAAAUAUUAGAUAAUACCGAAUGUGCUCAUUUACAUAAAGGUAAAUGAGGAAAGGAGCUACGGCUCCGCUUCAGGAUGGGCCCGCGUCCCAUUAGCUGGUUGGUGAGGUAAAGGCCCACCAAGGCAACGAUGGGUAUCCGGCCUGAGAGGGUGAACGGACACAUUGGGACUGAGAUACGGCCCAAACUCCUACGGGAGGCAGCAGCUAAGAAUCUUCCGCAAUGGACGAAAGUCUGACGGAGCGACGCCGUGUGAAUGAAGAAGGCCGAAAGGUUGUAAAAUUCUUUUGCAGAUGAAGAAUAAGAAGAAGAGGGAAUGCUUCUUUGAUGACGGUAGUCAUGCGAAUAAGCCCCGGCUAAUUACGUGC